AGUGAACGCUGGCGGCAGGCCUAAUACAUGCAAGUCGAACGGCAGCACAGCAGAGCUUGCUCUGUGGGUGGCGAGUGGCGGACGGGUGAGGAAUACAUGGGAAUCUGCCCAGUCGUGGGGGAUAACGUAUGGAAACGUACGCUAAUACCGCAUGCGCCCUAAGGGGGAAAGCCGGGACCGCAAGGCCUGGCGCGAUUGGAUGAGCCCAUGUUCGAUUAGCUAGUUGGCGGGGUAAAGGCCCACCAAGGCGACGAUCGAUAGCUGGUCUGAGAGGAUGAUCAGCCACACUGGAACUGAGACACGGUCCAGACUCCUACGGGAGGCAGCAGUAGGGAAUAUUGGGACAAUGGGGGCAACCCUGAUCCAGCCAUGCCGCGUGAGUGAAGAAGGCCCUCGGGUUGUAAAGCUCUUUUGUCCGGAAAGAAAAGCAAUCGGUUAAUACCCGGUUGUCCUGACGGUACCGGAAGAAUAAGCACCGGCUAACUUCGUGCCAGCA
rnacentral:rRNA from 1 species